rnacentral:lncRNA from 1 species
CGGUGGUUUGCUGGCCAGGGAAACCGCAAGGCUGCUCGCCGGGCUGCUGACCCUGAUGAGGGGAGACGGUGGUUUGCUGACCCUGGUGAGGGGAGACGGUGGUUUGCUGACCCUGGUGAGGGGAGACCGUGGUUUGCUGACCCNNNNNNNNNNNNNNNNNNNNNNNNNNNNNNNNNNNNNNNNNNNNNNNNNNNNNNNNNNNNNNNNNNNNNNNNNNNNNNNNNNNNNNNNNNNNNNNNNNNNNNNNNNNNNNNNNNNNNNNNNNNNNNNNNNNNNNNNNNNNNNNNNNNNNNNNNNNNNNNNNNNNNNNNNNNNNNNNNNNNNNNNNNNNNNNNNNNNNNNNNNNNNNNNNNNNNNNNNNNNNNNNNNNNNNNNNNNNNNNNNNNNNNNNNNNNNNNNNNNNNNNNNNNNNNNNNNNNNNNNNNNNNNNNNNNNNNNNNNNNNNNNNNNNNNNNNNNNNNNNNNNNNNNNNNNNNNNNNNNNNNNNNNNNNNNNNNNNNNNNNNNNNNNNNNNNNNNNNNNGUGGUUUGCUGACCCUGGUGAGGGGAGACAGUGGUUUGCUGGCAAUGGAAUGGCUGCUUUCCUCCCUGCGGUUGCUCCGUCGUUAACCCGCCGCCGAACCCUCCCCCUUGCUGGUGCAGCGGAGAAGUUCCACCUGGGUUGUACCCUUGCCCUGGUUUCUGUUGUGUAUAAGCUCCACUCGGGUAGUACAACGACCCUAGCCCUUGCUUUGGUGAAGAAGCUUGGCACCCUUGUGCUUGCUGCUGCGGAGAAGAUGUGCUGUGCUGGCACGCCCCUUGCACCGACCCCUGUGAAGAAGCUCCACUAGGCUGGUAUCCUUGUUGUCCUUGUCCUGACUGCUGCGGAGAAAUUGCACUUGGGUAGUAUCCUUUUUGCCCUUGUCCUGUUUGGUGCGGAGAAGUCAUACUUGGGUAGUGUCCUUGUUGCCCUUGUCCUUGUUGUUGCCCUUGCACUAGCUGUUGCCCAUGUCCUGGUUGUUGCCCUUGUCCUAGCUGUUGCCCUUGUCCUGGCUGCUGCGGAGAAGUUGCAAUUGGGUAGUACCCUUGUUGCCCUUGUCCCAACUGUUGCACUUGUCCCGGCUGCUGCGUAGAAGUUCCACUUGGGUUGUACCCUUGUUGCCCUUGUCCUGACUGCUGCGGAGAAGUUGUACUUGGGUAGGACCCUUGUUGCCAUUGUCCUGGCUGUUGUGGAAAAGUUGCACUUGGGUACCCUUGUUGCCCUUGUCCUGGUUGUUGCCCUUGUCCCAGCUGUUGCCCUUGCCCCGAUUGUUGUGGAGAAGUUGUACUUGGGUACCCUUGUUGCCCUUGUCCCGACUGUUGUGGAGAAGUUACACUUGGGUAGUACCCUUGUUGCCCUUGUCCUGGUUGUUGCCAUUGUCCUGGCUGAUGCGGGGAAGUUGCAAUUGGAUAGGGCUCUUGUUGUCCCUGUCCUUGUCCUGGCUGCUGUGGAGAAGUUGCACUCUGGUAGGGCCCUUGUUGCCCUUGUCCUGGCUGCAGCAGGGAAGUUGCGCCUGGGUAGUACCCUUGUUGCCCUUGCCCUUGCCCUGGCUGUUGUGGGAAAGUUGCACUUGGAUAGGACCAUGGCUGCCUCUGUCCUGGUUGUUGUCCUUGUCCUGGCUGCUGCGGGAAAGUUGAACCUGGGUAGGACCCUUGCUGCCCUUGUCCUGGCUGCUGGGAAGAAGUUACGCUUUGGUGGUACCCUUGUUGCCCUUGCCAUGACUGUUGCGAAGAAGUUUGGUCUGGGUAGUACCAUUUUACAGAGGUUCCCCACCAUCCUCCUUGCUGCAGCGGCGGUGCGGUCCCGCCCGGGUAGAAGGAUCCUCCCUUGGAUGGCACCUCGGUUUGCUGCUCGUAUUGCCUCACGACCUGGCUGAGGGCGACGGGGCGGCACUCGGGGCUGACGUCCCGAAGCUGCUGGCAGCACUGCAUCUGGAGCCCCGUGCUCCAUGGCAGCUGGCCAACCAGCUGUUGGUCCACGACCCGCCGGCACGCCUCGAGCGAGCUCUCCUGGAGCUCGCGCUCACACUGUAGCUGCCUAGAGCGGCUAUCAAGGAAAAUGUUGUUCCCAUUGAUCUCACGUUCAGCGGUGGUGAGAGCCACGAGGGCGACGAUUACCGCCACAAAGAGGACCAGCCGCUUAGCCAUCUCGGUGGACUGUCAAUGAAUUGAUCUCUAGUUUUGUGGUUCUCGGUGUUCUCGGUGAUGAUGAGAUUGUGGAGAUUGGCUGGGCUUUUAUAGGGACGAGGUGAAGGUUCCGGACCAUGGCUAUGUGCACGGCUGUGUUAGUUAGCCUAAGAAGAAACACGGGAAGAAUAAAAUCGGUUGGAAAAGUGCAGUUUGCCAACACAAAAGAAAUUGGAUAAGCAAGGAGGAAUUGGAGCUUUGCAAAACAGUUUUUUUGGACGGUCUGCUAAAGCCGCGUAAUCGGCUUAAUCCUAGUUCUGGGGUACUGUUUGCUGAAGCGUGGACGUUUGUAUCUUGGUCUGUUCUCUUCAUCUACGAGAAGUGAUUAUUGUUCUGGGGUUUUGGCAGAAUAUGUGUCUGUUAGCCAUUGCUGGCAAAUCGGCGGGCACUCGAAGCUUUUAAGCAUGUCGAGUAGUGGAAGGUAGCUUGCAUGGAACUGGUAAAUUGAGAAAUCAUCUUUCCAAAAGCUCAUUUGUUGCUUGUCAUGUAGUUGGAUUUGCAGGCAACACAAAUCCACGAUAUGACUCACAAUAUCUAUCCAGUGACUCACAACAUCUAUCUAUGCUACGAACGCGCCGUAUCAAAAGUUUUUAGAAUUUUUGGAUGUAUGGAAACACCUUUCCGUGACAAAACUCAACUAAUUGAAAACCUUUGGUCAGCCGUGUCUAAAAUUAACACAGGAUCUUCGAAGAAAAUUCGCGGCAAAUAGUUUUGAUUUACACAAGAAUAGGAUUUUUUUUUUCAUUUCCCAAAUGAGAUAAUGCAGAUUUAGCUGUCCAUUAUAUCUGCCUCCUAUGUUUAAACUCUUUUGUUCUUCUAUGAUUUCCAUGUGUUGCUCCCCCGUCCCUGCCUCUCUGUAUUUUCACUAUCUUUCACUGGGCUGCGUAGAUGCUGCACUUCUUCUCCCCUUGGCCUUAUCACUUGCUCACGCCAUCAUAAUAUCCCCUUCUUAUAAUUGCGGCUUCAUAAUUGCAAACCUGAGUUAAACAUUUGUUUGUUGACAAAUGUUGACAAUAUUAAUAACUUGUAUGAAAAAUGGGCUUCCGUUGCACUGACACUAUAUCAGUUAUUAAAUUCACCCAUUUCAUCCACCAUCAACCAACAAAAUCCAGGUGCGCUCCUACGAUCCCAGUUUAAUGUGCUUGCUAAAUUGUUUGUGUUGAGCUUAGUUAUUCUAUACUCUGCGGCGAAAAAUUCCUAACCACAAAAUUAGAAAAACGUAACAGUCAAACAGGCAAAACCGAGUAUAUCAUAAUCCAUCGAAGCCAGUCCAUCAGUCCUCCAAUGCGACCUUGCCUCACCUUGGCUUAGCGCAAAAAAAUGUUUCUUGCGUCUGUUAAUAAUAACUCAAAGAGAUGUGGAUGAAAGUUCAAAGCAGAGCCAACUAGGAACUAGGAAGGAGUCCGAUUCAGAUCAUGCAUGCAGAAUAAUAGGGGAAUAGUUGUAUGCUAUGCCACGUAACCCACCAUUUGUUCAUCGUGUUUAGCAUACAAUCGAUUCCAAUUAAUGAAACUCAACUUGAGGAUUUGGAUCUUCCAAAACAGAGCUACGUAAUCGGUUUUAUCAUGGUCCUGAAUACUGUUUGGAGAAGUGAGGCUUAUGUAAAUUGAUCUGUUUAUUUCAUCUAAUAAAAGUGAUUAUCCUCUGUUUUUUUUGCAAUAUAUGUAUCUGUUAGUCAUUGCUUUUGCAAAUCUGCAGGCACCCAGAAGUUUCUAAGCGUGUCGACUGCCGACUAGUGGAAGCACAAACUAGGUAAAGUGAUAAAUCGUCUUUCCAAAAGCUCAUUUCAUGUUUUUGUGGCAUGUCAUGUGGUUGGACUUUCAGGUAAUAAAAUCCAUGCUAUGGCUCACAAUAUCAGUUCGGUAUGACACACAACAUCAAUCCAUCUUUUAAUUAGAUAGACCAUACCAAAAGCUGAUACAAUUUUUAGACCCUUUUUCAAUGGUCUUGAAGAGAGAAAUUUUCUAUUUUUAUCUAUGGAGUCACAACCCAGGUCGUUGUAAAUCCAUGAAUUUGAUUCGGUUUGUAAGGCAACACCUUCUUUCUGUGGCAAAGGUCGAUUAGUUUCAAAGAAAAUCCAUGUUAAAUAGUUUGGUUUCCACAUAAUAGGGGAAAUCUCCACUUCCAAAACAAGUCCAGUUUAUGUAAUAAAUGUUACAAUAUAUGUGAAUUGUACUAGUCCUUUUCAUCAGUUCGGACUUUUGGUUGCGUUGGCUAGUGCAUGAAGCUUAACAUGGUAUCAGAGCUAAGAUCUUAAGUUCAAGUCCUGACUUUCGCAAUAUAUGUUAGAUCAUAAACACUAGCACAUUGUGUAUCGUUAGAACUGUGUCCCCCCUCUCCUCUCCCGCGGGCGACCGACCGCGGCCAACCUCCCCCUUCCUCGAGCACCACCCUCUCCCUCUCCUCUCCGUCGCCGUCGCUAGCACCCGCGGCCAGCCUGGCCCCGGGUUUGCCCUUCCCCUCCCGGUGGCUCUCCGACGCAGGGCAGAGCUGCACCAAGGGGUGCUCCUAGGUGACGGCGGGGCUCCCUGGCGCGUCGUGGGCAGACGGCUGGGCGGCGACGUCGUUGUUGGCUGCGGGGGGACGUUGCGGCGCGAUCUGAGGGUGGCCUCCCGACCCAGAUCUGGGCCUGGGCGGGCCAACGGCGGAGCGGGUCUGCGGCGGAACUUCCGGGAGUCGGGGAGCGGUGACGAGCGGCUGGGUGCUGGCGGCGCCGUUGCCAGCGCGCUGCAGCAUGGCCGACAGGGCUUAGCGGGCCCGUUCCAGGCCCGACUGGGCCAGGGGUGGCCUGGUAUGCCCUGCUGCCUUGUCCGGUCGGUGACUGCGGCGGUGCCGGAGGCGCGUGUUGGAAAUAUGCCCUAGAGGCAAUGAUAAAAUAGUUAUUAUUAUAUUUCCUGUUUCAAGAUAAUCGUUUAUUAUCCAUGCUAUAAUUGUAUUGAAUGAAAGCAUAGAUACAUGUGUGGAUAUAUAGACAAAACUAUGUCCCUAGUAAGCCUCUAGUUGGCUAUCCAGUUGAUCAAGGACGGUUAAGGUUUUCUGACCAUAUGCAAGUGUUGUCACUUGAUAACUGGAUCAUAUCAUUAGGAGAAUCAUGUGAUGGACAAGACCCAAACUAUGAACGUAGCAUGUGAUCAUGUCAUUUUGUUGCUAUUGUUUUCUGCGUGUCAAGUAUUCAUUCCUAUGACCAUGAGAUCAUGUAGCUCACUGACACCGGAGGAAUACCUUAUGUGUAUCAAACGUCACAACGUUACUGGGUGACUAUAAAGGUGUUCUACAGGUAUAUACGAAGGUGUCCGUUGAGUUAGCAUGGAUCAAGACUGGAAUUUAUCACUUCGUGUGACGGAGAGGUAUCUCGAGGCCCACUCGGUAAUACAACAUCACAUAUAAGCCUUGCAAGCAAUGUGACUCAAGUGUUAGUCACGGGAUCUUGUAUUACAGAACGAGUAAAGAGACUUGCCGGUAACGAGAUUGAAAUAGGUAUAGAGAUACCGACGAUCAAAUCUUGGGCAAGUAACAUAUCGAAGGACAAAGGGAAUGUUAUACGGGAUUAUAUUGUUAGGAAUAUGCAACUUGUAUUCCCAUGAGGCCAUAGGCCGGUAUAUAUACAUGUACAGGUGGUGGACUAUAUGCAGGAAACCCCUUAUAUAUUGGGAUAAAUACAAAAGGGUACAUGACUUAUAUUAUAACUCUAACACCCCCUCAAACUCAUGGUGGAUGAACAACACCGAGUUUAGAGAGAUAAAAGCCAUGUUGUGCUCUAAUUUGGGCCUUCGUCAGGAAAUCUGCCAACUGUAACUCGGAAGGCACAUACUGAAGAGUAAUGACCUGAUCCUGCACACCAGCGCGCACAUAGAAAGCAUCAACACCAAUAUGCUUGGUGAGCUCAUCUUUCACAGGAUCGUGCGCAAUGCUAAUAGCACAUGUACUAUCAGAUAAGAGCAGAGUCGGUGUAGUGACAGAAACACCAAAAUCCUGUAGUAACCAUCGUAACCAAGUCACCUCUGCCGUCAAAAGAGCCAUCGCUCGCAACUCAGCCUCUGCACUUGAACGGGAAACUGCAAUUUGUUUCUUCGUCUUCCAGGCAGUGAGAGAACCAUCAAGAAAAACACAAUAAGCAGAAAGUGAACGGCGAUCUGAAGGAUCACUAGCCCACGUAGCAUCCGAAUAGGCCUGAAGCUAUAAAGAACUGGAGCGAGGAAAGAAUAGACGGUGAGAGAUCGUGCCUCGAAGAUAUCGGAGAACACGAAGGAGAUGACUAUAGUGAACCGAUGUGGGAGCGGAGACGAACUGACUCAGAAUAUGAACCGGAUAAGAGAUAUCCGGACGAGUGACAGCUAGAUAGACAAGACUGCCAACAAGAUGACGAUAACGCGUCGGGUUAGGCAGGGGAUCACCAUCAGUAGCACGGAGGUGAACAUUGAGCUCCAUAGGAGUCUCAACAAUGCGCUCGUCAGUAAGAGCAGCACGAGCAAGAAGAUCCUGGAUAUACUUUUCCUGGGAUAUAAAAAAGCCAUCAGGGGUAGAAGAGACUUUAUCCCAAGAAAGUAGCGAAGAGGUCCAAGAUCAGACAUAAGAAACUGCUCAUUAAGACGGGCCUUUACAAAGGCAAUAUACUCGGGGUCAUCCCCAGUGAUGAUCAUGUCAUCAACAUAGAGAAGAAGAAGAGUCCGACCACGAGGAGAAAGGUGAAUAAACAAUGCUGGAUCAUGAGCACUCGCUGAAAAACCAGCAGCAGUCACCACAGAGGCAAAACGCUCAAACCAGGCGCGAGGGGCUUGCUUAAGGCCAUAGAGAGAGCGACAAAGACGACAUACCAUGCCAUCAGGAACAAAAUACCCAGGUGGUGGCUGCAUGUACACCUCCUCACGCAGCUCACCAUUAAGAAAAGGCAUUCUUAUCAUCAAGCUGAGAUAUAGACCAGUGGCGUGCAGAGGCCACGACAAGAAGUGUACGAACAAUUGUCAUAUGGUCCACAGGAGCAAAAGUCUCGUCAUAAUCACGACCAUGCUCCUGCUGAAAACCACGAGCCACAAGACGAGCUUUGUGACGCUCAAGAGAACCAUCGGAGCGAGUCUUAACCUUGUAGACCCACUUACAAGUGAUGGGACGGACUCCGGGAGGAAGUGAAACAAGAUCCCACGUACCAGUGCGUUCAAGAGCAGCAAUCUGCUCUGCCAUCGCAAACUGCCAUUCAGGAUGAACAACAACUUGAUGAUAGGAAGUCGGCUCAAGAACAGCAGCACCAACGGUGCGAAAUCCAAGGCGAUCAACAUGCGGACGAGGGCGAGAACGCAAGGCAUAGGGAGGCUGAGAUGAGGAUGACGGCACAUCCAUAGAGGCAUCCACAUGACGUGAACGAUGAGUGUAACACUGAGGAAAAGAUGGAACAAUGCAAGGGGGGAUCGCCAAGGUAGAAUCGAGGGGUGAAGACGUAGAAGUCACCGGAGAUGAAGGUGCAGAAUCCAGUGACAUGCCAGGAGAGGAAACCGUGGGAGAUGGUGGUAGCAAAUCGACAGGAGGUGGAGAAGCAGAGGGAGCGGAACGAAUAGGCAAAGACUCGAUGGGGGUGAGAGGUGUAUCAGGAAAAGUGAGGAAAGAGAUAUCCUCCACUGAAAAGGUCGAGGAAGAUGGGCGUGGGUAGAAGGGACGAGACUCGUCAAAAGUCACAUCCCGAGAGAUACGCAUCCGACGACCGAUAGGAUCCCAACAACGAUAGCCCUUAUGCUCAACACUGUAGCCUAAGAAGACACACUCAACAGACUGAGCGGUCAGUUUGGUGCAUUCGCGAGGGGCAAGAAGAACAUAGCAAACACAACCAAACAGGCGAAGCAUCGAAUAAUCGGGAGAACGAUCAAAGAGACGCUCAAAAGGAACACCACCCUGUAGAGCAGCAGAAGGUUGUAGAUUGAUGAGAUAGGUGGAGGUGGAGACGGCCUCAACCCAGAAAUGAGGCGGGAGAUAGGCAGCAAUCAUCAUCGCACGAGCCGUCUUAAGAAGGUGACGAUGCUCGCGCUCAGCCACACCAUUCUGAGCAUGAGCACCAGGACAAGAGAACUGAGCAAGUGUACCCUGCUCAGCGAGAAAUCCACGCAACAUCUUGGAGAUAUACUCUCCAGCAGAGUCAGCACGGAACACACGAAUAGGCGUAGAGAACUGAGUGUGAACCAUGGGAGCAAAACGCUUAUAGAUAGAUAAUACCUCACUACAAGAAGACAUGAAAUAGAUCCACGUGUAUCGAUAGAAAUCAUCUAUAAAGAUAAUAUAGUAGCGACAGCCUCCCUUCGAGGAAAAGGGAGCUGGACCCCAAACAUCCGAGCGAACAAGGUCAAAAGGACGCUGAGACAUAGUCUCGCUAUGAGGAUAAGGUAACUGAACAUGUUUACCAAGCCGGCAGCCCUAACAGUCUAAAGACACACCACCGGAGACGGAUCCAAGAAGACCACGUCGAACUAAGGAUGAGAGACGAGAGCCACAUAAACGACCCAGACGAUGAUGCCACUCUUGAAAAGAGCUGGUAGACAAGGCAACAGAGGAGGAGAGACUGGCUGCGGUGGUAGCGGAUGGAAGGUGAAGCCAGUCAAGCUCCCAGAGACCCUGAGAGUCACGGCGUCGGGGGCCAGCACCAAGAAGAGCACCAGUGUGUCGAUCCAGAACUGAACAUGAGUCAAAGUCAAGAAUGACCCGACAAUCAGAGUCAACAAUCUGGCCACCAGAAAGGAGCUUCAUGGUAAGCUGAGGAACAUGAGCAACAUCGGGAACAUGAAAAGAUGAAGUGCUAAGAGUGCCUCGACCAGUAACAGGAAAGAAGUACCAUCAGCAGUAAGAAUAUGAACAGAAGAAUCAAGAGGUCGAGUAGAUGACAGAGUGGAUGAAUCAAGAGUCAUAUGAAAGAUGCUCCAGUAUCAAGAACCCACUGAGAUGUACCUGCGUGUGUAGAAGGUGGUCUCACAAUGCCAGAAGAGUCCGUAGCAGAACCAACAGAACCCGUCGAUGAAGAAACAACAGAUGGAGCUAGCAGACAUUGAAAUCGUCCAAUCUCCUGCUCAGUCAGGGGCGGAACUGAAGAUGUCAAUGUAGACACACCCGACAACGGAGAGUCGAAGGCAAGGAGCAGGGCGCGAAGUCACGCAAUCUCGUCCUCGGUGAAGUACACAUCUGAAGUAGGCGUCGUAAUGGCACGAGGAGAGAAGCAACCACCACCACCUGUGGAAGCCGCUAAAUAUGGCGGUCUAGCAUGUCCAGUAUCGUCGGCAAAGACCGGUGAAGAAGACGAGGUCGUGUGCAGACAAGCACCAAGUGCCAAGGGAAGACGCGUGGACGAAGAGCAGUCCAUGGAGUCAAAUGCACCAUGACAACCGGUGAAAGUCGCGAGAGGUGUCGGGGAAGAGCGACAUGCACCGAUGAAAGUCGCGAGAGGAGUCGGUGUAGAGCGACAAUCACCAUAUGUAUAGCUCGCAGGAGCAACAAAAGAACUACCAGCACAGCUGUCAGGAGUCACGGGAAGCAAGGGACGGCAACGUUGCGUGUUGGUGUAGACCAUUUUUUUUUUUUUUUUUUNNNNNNNNNNNNNNNNNNNNNNNNNNNNNNNNNNNNNNNNNNNNNNNNNNNNNNNNNNNNNNNNNNNNNNNNNNNNNNNNNNNNNNNNNNNNNNNNNNNNNNNNNNNNNNNNNNNNNNNNNNNNNNNNNNNNNNNNNNNNNNNNNNNNNNNNNNNNNNNNNNNNNNNNNNNNNNNNNNNNNNNNNNNNNNNNNNNNNNNNNNNNNNNNNNNNNNNNNNNNNNNNNNNNNNNNNNNNNNNNNNNNNNNNNNNNNNNNNNNNNNNNNNNNNNNNNNNNNNNNNNNNNNNNNNNNNNNNNNNNNNNNNGGCAGAUCCAAUCGGGGCUGGCGGUGGUUGGCAGCGGCGGCGGCAGAUCCAAUCGGGGCUGGAGGCGGCUGGCAGUGGAGGCGGCGGCGGCUGGCGGAUCAACGGGGACGCGAUCCACAACAGCAGCAGCAACCGACUUCGAGCUGAGACGCGAUCCAGGCCUGGCGGGAGAGGAGAUCGAGACCAGGCCGGCGGGAGAGAUCGAGACCAGGCAGAGCCUUCUACGUAGACCGGGACGGGAAGAGAUCGAGGAGCAGGAGAUCGAGGUCGGCGACUUCGAUCGGGAAGGAAAGACGGAUCAAUCGCACGAGUUGCAGCAUGCAAAAAAAUUGACCUAGCUCUAAUACCAUGUUAGGAAUAUGCAACUUGUAUUCCCAUAAGGCCAUAGGCCGGUAUAUAUACAUGUACAGGUGGUGGACUAUAUGCAGGAAACCCCUUAUAUAUUGGGAUAAGUACAAAAGGGUACAUGACUUAUAUUAUAACUCUAACAUAUAUGAAUCCUUGACACAGAGGUUCAACCGAUAAGAUCUUCGUAGAAUAUGUAGGAUCCAAUAUGGACAUCCAGGUCCCGCUAUUGGAUAUUGGCCGAGGAGUGUCUCAGGUCAUGUCUACAUAGUUCUCGAACCCGCAGGGUGUCGGGGGGAUAACCCCGGGGUAGGCUCAUCAAGCCUAUUCCUUCAUUUCCGGCCCAAUGGACAUGAACGUAUGAAGAUUCCCAAAGCCCAAGUCUUCUGGCUGGCUAGGCAUCACCUGCCGGCUAGAGGACGAGGCGACCACCUUUUUGGCCGGCCAGGCAACCCCUGCCGGCUAGAAUCCUGGCAGCCUCCCCUUCAGAGCCGGUCUGGUCCCGCCAGCCGGACUGGGGAGGAGGCGGCCACACUUAAGCCGGCUCGCCAAGCAGGCUAGCCGGCUGAGGAUCACAAGUCACAUCAGAUCGUAGGUCAGGAAGAGACCUCACGAUUAAAGGUAGCUACGCGUCAGCAAAGGUACAGGAUCAGGGCGUCCAGCAGGUACGAGCGUCGGCGGCCACGCCGCUGACCUACCCCGGCUCUGAUCCAUCACCUAGCAUAGUGUCGGACCGUCACACUCCCACUCCAUUACUGCACUCGGCGUGGGGAACAGUGGAGGCGGUCGUACUACCUGCCCAUGAAGAAUCUCGCGGGGCGACGCUUGACGUACAGCGCGCGCUCAGCGUCAACCUUACGCGAGAGCCUCAUUGGCCAGCCGGCGGGUCCCACAGGCAAUCGAGACCAUGCAGCCGGCGGGCCCCUCAUCGACAAGACAAGACCCUCGUGGGCCCCUGGCCAGCGGGCGAAGCAGCCAGCCGGGUCCCACGCUUGUACCCUUUAUCCAUAUUGUAGGCCGGCGGGUUCGUCUAUAAAACCCCCCGGUCGCCCCCCAUGCAAGGGGACCGAUCAUUCACCAGUCAUUCAACCCAACACAUUCACCAACCACAGAGAGAGAGGUAGAGACGAGCCGGCUGCUUCCCUCUUCCUCCUCCCAACACAGCUCCAGGAGCGACAUUGUACUCUGUUCCUAUACAUCAAAACUCUGGCAGGAUUAGGGGUAUUAUCUCUACGGAGAGCCCUGAACCUGGGUACAUCGUGCGUCCCAUGCGUGUACCAACCUCGUUCCCAGCGCCCACCUUUGUCCCUUCGGUUCUCACCGACUUUAGCCUACCUAUGGCAUAUGUUGUGAGUAUUCACCGACAUUUGGCGCCCACCGUGGGGCCGAUCGCGGCAUCGGCUGGCUUUACGCGCUGGGCGGGGCCCCGCACCUACACCACCGGAUGCAUCGUGUCCGGAUCAGUUUGCAUGCCCGUGGAGCCCGCUUUUGACGAGGCGACACCCAUGAUGAUCGACGUCCCCGUCCGCCAUGCGGAUUCAGACGAAGAUUCUGAUGACGAGGCGCUCCCUACCGUCGUCGUCGCUGCUUUGGAGAACCUCAACGUUCUCUUCAGCGACCUUCGACUCAACGACGGCCCGUGCUACUUCGGCGAGGACUUCAACGUUGAGGCGCUCUGCGCCAGCUUCAGCAGGCUUUCUAUCACUGAGAUGCCUGCCCACGACGUUUAUCCCAGUAACGUCCUCAUCUUCGACGGCCCUCCGCCGUCGGUGGGGUUCUUCACCCCAUACCACGUUGCUGCCGUCUCCAACAUCGUGGAGGUGAUGGUUAUCGGCGCUGGCACCAGCACGGCUCCCGGCAAGGCCUCCGCAGGCGAUGGCGAGCCCGCUGCGACCACCGCUGAUACUCUUCGGGACGCCAUCGCCGGCCUGAAGACACCGGUCACCACUUCCGCCGACCCUACAGACGCUCGGGCCUCGCUGGAGGAGGCUCGCAAGCGUAUCUUGGAGGAGGGCAUCGUCGUGGCUUCGGCGAAACGUCGGUUGGAGGCUACGCAACACGAGUAUAACUCCGCAUACGGUCUCACUCCGAUUUCCGAGGCCCCUAGCCGGCUUGGAUCGGUCCGCAACCGCGGUCGGUUCAUCGCCGAGGUUCUAGGCGGCGAUCUGCCCACCUACGAGACUCCUGCGGCCAACAUGCGGGCGGCGCAGGCAGCCAUGGAGGAGAUGGCAAGUCUGGAAGGCGAGGAGCGCGCCUUCCAGGAGAAGCGUGUCAAGGAUCUCCUUGACGCCGCCAACCAACAACACGCUCGGCUUGACCCCGGUCAGGCUCAAUCGGAGUCCCCGGGACCGAACUCGGGGGCACGCCGCAACCCUAGCGGUUAGCACCACGCAGAAGGAUCUUCCUCGCAUCGCCCUUCCGGCCAGAGGGGCGAGGGAAGCCAAGACCGGCGCUCUCAACGCCAGAGCGAGCACACUUCGGGCUUGCAUCGCGGAGGCGACGAGGGCGAUUCAGAGUGUGAGGUUCCUCCCCCACGAGGAACUCACGUCUCUGGUUCACGAGGCGCCUCCCCUUCGCCACCAGGGAUGGCGUCCACGCCACCCAGGAUGAGCGGGACGCCCGCCGGCGUGUCAUCGUCCUGGCCCAGUCCGCCCUCCUAGAGGAAGACAGACCCAUCGGUCCGGCAUGCUUCGGCCCCCGGAUCCGAGGGGAGCCGUUCCCCCGAGGUUUCACCCUACCUCGGGAUACGCCGAAAUACAACAGCACGGCCAAGCCAGAAGACUGGCUGAUUGAUUACACCACGGCCGUAGGCAUCGCCAGGGGCAACAAGCGUGUAGCGGUUCGCUAUGUGCCACUCAUGUUGGCCGGCUCGGCCCGGACUUGGCUUAACAGCCUCCCGGCCGGCAGUGUCAACUCCUGGGUGGACUUUGAGGAUGCGUUCGUCCGCAACUUCAUCGGCACCUACAAGCGCCCUGGCCGGCCCCGCGAGCUGGCCAUGUGCGUCCAGAAGGUCGACGAACCCCUUCGCGACUACGUCACCCGGUGGACUGAGCUCCGCAACUCCUGCGAGGGGGUGCAUGAGGUACAAGCCAUCCAGUACUUCAUUGACGGAUGCCGAGACGGCACCCUUCUCAAGCACAAGCUCAUGUGCGCCGAGCCCACCUCUUUGGCGGUGCUCAUGGCCAAGGCGGACAAGUACGCCAUGGCCGACUCCGCAAUGCGCAUCAAAGUGACCUCAUCGGACAAGGUUGUGCCUACGUCGGCUACUCCCAAGCCGGCUGGGGACAACCGAGGCGGUCAGAACAACUACAAGCGCAAGGCGGAUCAGAUGGAUCCCUGCUCCAACAGCAAGCUGGUGGCCAAUGUGGAGGGCGAGGCGUCGGCUUCUCAAGCCGGCCCUGCAUGAAAGCGUCCCAACCAGAGCAACCCCAACUGGCUGCCCAUGCAGUCCCUCGAGCAGCUGCUCGACGCCCCCUACAAGAUACAUUCUGGGGCGAUGCCAUCUACCCAUACCCUUCGACAGUGCAGCGUCACGCGCCGACUGUCGCAAGGGGAUGGCCUGCCGGCACCUCCGGGUGCGCAGGCGGCGCCCCGUGCACCGGCUCCCAACCACGCUCCGCUUCCGCCACCGCCGCCUUGCGAUGACGGCCCUCACCCAGACGACUAUCCUCAUCAAGACGGAGCGUUCGUCGUCUUCACCAGCAAGGGCAACGACAAGCACAGCCUGCGCCAAAGACGGCGUGAGGUAAAUGCCACCGUCCCCCCGGUUCCCCAGUACAUGCAUUGGUCUGACAAACCAAUCACGUGGAGCCGGGUGGACCAUCCUGCGGUGAUGCCCAACCCGGGAUCAUACGCGCUCGUCCUCAACCCCACCUUCGCCUCCAAAAGGCUCACCUGCCGAUUCUCCCGGGUGCUGGUCGAUGGCGGCAACAGCAUCAACAUCCUCUACCUUGACACCCUCCUUAAGCUCGGGCUCAAGGAGACGGACGUCCUGCCAACCAACACUGUCUUCCAUGGCAUCGUGCCCGGACAGUCUUGCUCGCCCAUCGGCAAGAUCCAACUGGACGUCCUCUUCGGCGACAAGGCCCACUUCCGCCGAGAGUCCAUAUGGUUCGAGGUAGUGGACCUCAGUAGCUCGUAUCACGCGCUGCUGGGAAGACCGGCUCUGGCCAAGUUCAUGGCUAUUCCGCAUUACGCCUACCUAAAGAUGAAGAUGCCGGGUCCCAAGGGCAUCAUCACUGUUGUUGGCGACUACAAGAAGUCGCUCGAGUGUGCCCAAGAUAGCAGCCGCCUCGCCGACGCUUUGGUGAUUGCCGAGGAGAAGCGGCAGAUCGACCGGCUCGUGGCCCAGGCUACCGAGCAGCCGGCGAUUCCUUCUCCGUCCCAAUUGGCCGGCGAGGGCUCUUUCAAGCCGGCUAAAGAGACCAAGCAGGUCCCACUCGACCCCGCCAACCCGAAGCAGUGUGUCACCAUCGGGGCUGGCCUCAGCCCCAAAUAGGAAGGCGAGCUCGUCGACUUCCUCUGUGAGAAUCGGGACAUCUUUGCGUGGUCCCCCAAGGACAUGCCGGGUGUUCCGAGGAAGUACGCCGAACACAAACUUCACGUGCGACCGGAUGCGAAGCCGGUGAAACAACCCAUGCGCCGCUUUGCCGAGGGGAAGCGGCGCACGAUCGGAGAAGAAAUCACCCGGCUCCUCGCAACCAGCUUCAUCAUGGAGGUUUUCCACCCGGACUGGCUGGCUAACCCAGUCCUGGUGCUGAAGAAGAACAAUACCUGGCGAAUGUGCAUCGACUACACUAGCCUGAAUAAGGCCUGUCCGAAAGACCCUUUCGCGUUGCCUAGGAUAGAUCAAGUGAUCGACUCCGCUGCAGGCUGCGAACUGCUGUCAUUUUUGGAUGCUUAUUCAGGUUACCAUCAAAUCAAGCUGGAUCCAGCUGAUCGCCUGAAGACCUCCUUCAUCACGCCCUUCGGGGCCUACUGCUACACCACCAUGACGUUCGGUCUAAAGAACGCAGGUGCGACAUUCCAACGCUGCAUGCAACAGUGCCUACUGCCACAGAUUGGCAGAAACAUCCACGUCUAUGUGGAUGACAUCGUCGUCAAGACGAAGCAGCACUUCAGCCUUCUCGACGACCUGCGGGAGACGUUCGCCAAUCUGCGCGAGUACAAGAUCCGGCUCAACCCUGAGAAGUGCGUCUUCGGGGUCCCAGGCGGCAAACUCUUGGGGUUCUUCGUGUCCGCCCUGAGAAGUUCGCCGGCUGCUUGGCAUCCCUCAGCCGGUUCGUCAGCCGGCUUGGCGAGAAGGCCCUUCCACUCUACGAGCUCAUGAAGAAGAUGACAAAGUUCGAGUGGAACGACCAGGCGGACGAAGCCUUCUGCGACCUCAAGCGGGUAAUCUCGAGUCUGCCAAUCUUGGCAGCCCCAUCUGAAAGGGAACCCAUACUCAUAUACAUCGCGGCGACCACUCGCGUGGUCAGCGUAGUGUUGAUAGUUCAACGUAAAGAGGAAGGCAAGGCCCUGCCAGUGCAGCGCCCUGUCUACUACCUUAGCGAGGUCUUGUCCGCCUCUAAGCAGAACUACCCUCAUUGUCAGAAAAUGUGUUAUGGUGUUUACCUUGCUGCAAAGAAAUUGAAGCAAUACUUCCAAGAGCAUGCCAUCACUGUGGUGAGCACUGCUCCGCUUUCAGAGAUCAUGGGUAACCGUGAUGCCACGGGCAGAAUUGCCAAAUGGUCCAUCGCCAUGGCGGACCAUGAUAUUCGGUAAGAGCCUCGCACCGCCAUCAAAUCACAGGUGGUGGCCGACUUCCUAGUCGACUGGGCCGAGACCAAGUUCGAGCCACCGCCUCCGGACUCCACGCAUUGGCGGAUGCACUUCGACGGCUCGAAGAUGCGGACAGGGCUGGGAGCCGGCAUCAUCUUGAUGUCUCCGAAAGGGGACCAGCUCAAGUACGCUCUCCAGAUCCAUUUCGCCGCCUCCAACAACGUCGCCGAGUACGAAGCACUGCUCAUGGCCUCCGGCUUGCCAAGGAGAUCGGCAUCCGGCGGCUCAUAUGCUUCGGCGAUUCAGACUUGGUGGUGUAGCAGGUCUCUGGCGAAUGGGACGCCAGGGACGCCAACAUGGCGAGUUACCGCUUCCUCAUCCAGCAGCUCAGCGGCCCCUUCGAGGGUUGUGAGUUCCACCACGUUCCCAGGGCGGAAAAUGAGGCGGCCGAUACACUAGCAAAAAUCGGCUCCACAAGACAGGCCAUUCCAGUCGGCGUCUCCCUCGAGCAACUCCAUAAGCCGUCUAUCAAGCCAUCUCCCGAGUCGGCAUCAAUCUUCGUACCGUCCGACUCACAAGCGCCGCCGGCUCCGCCAGUUAUGCCGGCUGCAGACCCCACGCCGGCUGUGCAGGCGGCACCGGCUCCAAAUGCGGCAUCGACUGAAUCCACGGUGCAAGCGCCGUCGGCUCCACCAACUACGCCGGCUGCGGAUCCUAUACCGGCUCCAUCGGUCCAACCAACUCCAAUAGCGGCACCAGCUACAACAACAACCCUGGCUCUGUCCGGGCCCGAAUCCUCCCAGUGGGUGGACGUCAUGGAGGUAGACGGUGAGCCGGCUGCAGUAAUAACACCAGAGACACCAUCCAGCUCGGGGGCUGCAGAAGCCUCCAACAGUCAAGACGAAGCAGAGGCGACCCUUGUGUCGGCUCCGUCAUGGGCUCAAGCCAUUCUGGCCUUCCUUCUUCGCAGCGAACUUCCUCAGAACAAGGCGGAGGCGAGAUAGAUCCAGCGCAGGUCCGCCGCCUACGCCAUCAUCAAUCGCGAACUGGUGUGCGACGCAGCACGACCGGCGUGUUCCAGCGCUGCGUCGAAUCAGAAAAGGGCAGGAGAUCCUUAGAGACAUCCACAAGGGGGAGCGUGGGCAUCACGCGGCCUCCAGAACCCUGGUGGCCAAAGCAUUCUGCCAUGGAUUCUAUUGGCCCACGGCCCUCGAGGAGGCCGUGGAUCUGGUGGACAAAUGCGAAGGCUGCCAACGCUUCAGCGCACAAAGCCACAUGCCGCCUUCGGCACUCAAAACCAUUCCCUUAUCAUGGCCAUUCGCCGUCUGGGGGCUGGACAUGGUUGGGCCCUUCAAGACGGUUCGCGGAGGGACGACACAUCUGUUGGUAGCCGUCGACAAGUUCACCAAGUGGAUCGAAGCCAGACCUCUCAAGAAGCUUGACGGCCCCACUGCUGUCAGGUUCAUCACAGACAUCUCUGUCCGAUAUGGCGUUUCCCACAACAUCAUCACCGACAAUGGCACCAACUUCGCCAAGGGCGCCCUGGCGCUUUACUGUUCCAAGGUAGGCAUCAGGCUCGACUUGGCCUCAGUGGCACACCCUCAGUCAAACGGCCAAGCAGAGAGGGCCAACGGCCUCAUCCUAGCCGGCAUCAAGCCAAGGCUGGUGGCACCACUGGUCAGGUCAGCCGGCUGCUGGAUUGAAGAACUGCCGGCUGUGCUAUGGAGCCUCCGCACCACGCCCAACCGGUCGACCGGCUUCACUCCAUUCUUUCUGGUAUAUGGGUCUGAGGCUAUUAUCCCCACGGAUGUCGAGUUCGACUCACCUCGGGUCACCCUAUACACAGAAACGGAGGCGAAGGAGGCCAGAGAAGACGGUGUGGAUCUCCUCGAAGAAGCAAGGGACUUGGCUUUGAGCCGGACGGCCAUCUACCAACAGAAGCUGAGAUACUACCACAACAAAAAGAUCAGGCCUCUCUCUUUCAGGGAGGGAGACUUGGUCCUCAGAAGAAUCCAGCGCACUGCCGGCCAACACAAGCUCUCAUCCCCCUAGGAGGGACCCUUCAUCAUCAGUAGGGCGCUGCACAACAACGCUUACUACCUGAUUGACGCCCAGAAGCCAAGGAAGCGCAAGAGGGACGACUCCGGCCAAGAAAUGGAACGUCCAUGGAACGCGGCGUUGCUUCGCCCGUUCUAUUGCUAAAAGGCAGAAGUCAAGCAAAGGAAAGAGCAUACACAUGUAUCUUCCUCCCUCUUCAGGGAACAAGGAAAGCAAUAAAAAGAGCAUGCUUCAUGUUUCUUUUUAUUGAGAGUUUUCACUUAGUGUACGCCCUCUGACACGCUUCAUUAAGCUCGGAGGCUACACCGCGUACAACCUCUUGCUGGCUUAAUCAAGCUCAGAGGCUACGCAGCGCGCGGUCCUUGCUGGCUUUAACAGGCUCGGGGGCUCGCUAGCCGCCUGGACGGCCCACCCUUGUAAAUGGACACAUAGUGUACCGGCUGAUCCCUGGUCCCUCGCUCGAGCCUGCGGGCUGGCUCCGGUCGCUCGGUUCGCGAGGUGACGCCAGGUCAGGUCGAAUACAUGCAAAGUCCGGCUACACUUGGGUCGUCGGCUCAGUCUGGCUCGAUCAUAUAUACGAUCUCAUUCAAGACUCAAGACGGCCUCUGAUUGCCGGGAACAACAAAUGCGAUAAAAAGAGCAUGCUCCAUGUUUCUUCUUAUUGAGAGUUUUCACUCAGUGUACGGGCUACACCGCGUACAACCUCUUGCUGGCCUGAUCAAGCUCGGAGGCUACGCAGCGCACGCCCCUUGCUGGCUUUAACAAGCUCGGGGGCUCGCUAGCCGCUCGGACUGCCUGCCCUUGUAAAUGGACACAUAGUGUACCGGCUGAUCCCUGGUCCCUCGUACGAACCCGCGGGCUGGCUCUGGUCGCUCGGUUUGCGAGGUGACGCCAGGUCAGGUCGAAUACAUGCAAAGUCCGGCUACACUUGGGACGCCGACUCGGUUUGGCUCGAUAAUAUACGAUCUCAUUCAAGCCGGCCUCUGAUUGGCUUAUGUCCUAUUCUUUAUGUCUUGAUGGCUUCGGAUAAGAGAAGUCAACCAGGAAUCAAAAGACAGGAUCAUAAGACAACACGCUUGGUGAUGAAUAUAAUGCUGAAUAUAUACAUUCACAAAAGCAUUGGCCCACGACCCACGUUCGUUACAUCCCUCCAGGGGUAGAACCAAAAACAUAAAAGGACACCGGUUACGGGACAAUGGCCUCAUUGGUCGUCUCGGCCGCUGCUCCUGAUGUGGUAGCAUCACCGCCUCCGGCUGUUCCCGAGGUGGUUGCGCCGUCUCCCCCGCUGAGGCCCCCGGCUCCGCCAAUACCGGAGUCGGCAUACGCCGCACCGCUGGAGGCGGCAGCAGAUUCCGCAGCCCGGACCGCUUCGUCGGAGCUGCCGUCGGCGUCGUAGGGCUGAAGGCCGUGCAGAUCUUCAGCGGUCACACCGCCAUCUUCACCCCGCUCCAAGACGAAGUAAUCCCAGGCUGCGUACUCGGCGAAGGCGCUGGCCCUCACGCGAAGCUCCUCCUCCAUGCCCUGCAGCUCCGCCUCCGAGCCGUCGCGCUGGGCACCCAGCUUGCCCAAGUUCAGGUUCCGAUACCAUGACUUGGCCAAGCGCAGGGCCAUAUAAGCCCCAGACCGCGCCGCGGAGGCACGCUAGGCGUCCAGGCGCUCUCCACCCACUGCAAGCCAGCGUGCGAGCCGGCUCAUGGACGCCGGCUCUACGCCUUCCGACCACAAGGCCGCCACCAUCGACAAGCCUGCAACCUGGAGCUGAGCCACAGACUCGCCCAGGGCGUGCAGGCGGGCCCGAAGGCCCACCCCGAUCUCCUCCACACUCCAUCCGGAGGUAAUGUCUACCUCCUGCCCGACCGUGCGGCGCUCCUCACGGCACACCUCGACGGCGGUGUCGGCUGCGAUCUGGGUCUCGGGGAAGAGACCUGGAAUGACAGCAACCAAGACGUAAGAACACAGCAAAAGGAGGAGACGACAAAAAUACCAAACAUAAGACAAGGAAGAAAGACCCACGAUGGAAGGUGCCGUCGGUCUCAUGAGAAACCUCGAGGACCUCGUGCUCCCGCACCUUACUCGCAUGAGUAAGGCGGGCGACCUCCUCCUGGAGGGUCGCCGCAAACUCCAGAGACUUGGCCAGCUGCGUCUGCUUCUGGACAAGGGCCUCCUCCUUCUCCCUCAAGGCGGCGUCCUUGAGGUCCACCUCCUUGAGGUGAAGCGACGCGAGGCGGUCCACGUCGGCAGAGUAGGAGGCCUCCUUCUCCUGCAGCGUGGCCCGCAGCUGCUCCAACUCGACCCGGCCAGCCGCCUCGAGCUCCUUCUUCUCCGCCUGAAGAAGGUCCAGCUACUCUUGGAGUCGGCCGCCGGCGUUGCGCAGGGCAUCGCACUCCGCGGCGAUCUCGCCCAGCCGGGCUUCAAGCUCGGCAAUCCGGCUAUCGGCCCCCAGGUGCUGGUCCAGUAGGUCGUUGUAC